GAUGAACGCUGGCGGUAUGCUUAACACAUGCAAGUCGAACGGACUCUUCGGAGUUAGUGGCGGACGGGUGAGUAACGCGUGAGAAUCUGGCUUUGGGUUCGGGACAACCACUGGAAACGGUGGCUAAUACCGGAUGUGCCGAGAGGUAAAAGAGAAAUUGCCUGAAGAUGAGCUCGCGUCUGAUUAGCUAGUUGGUGAGGUAAAGGCUCACCAAGGCAGCGAUCAGUAGCUGGUCUGAGAGGAUGACCAGCCACACUGGGACUGAGACACGGCCCAGACUCCUACGGGAGGCAGCAGUGGGGAAUUUUCCGCAAUGGGCGAAAGCCUGACGGAGCAAUACCGCGUGAGGGAAGAUGGCUCUUGGGUUGUAAACCUCUUUUCUUAGGGAAGAACAAAAUGACGGUACCUAAGGAAUCAGCAUCGGCUAACUCCGUG
rnacentral:rRNA from 1 species